GCCGAAGUGGUGGAACUGGCAGACACGCGGUGUUCAGGGCGCCGUGAGCCUCGCGCUCGUGUGGGUUCAAAUCCCACCUUCGGCACCA
rnacentral:tRNA from 1 species